rnacentral:pre_miRNA from 1 species
GUGACCGGUCUGUCAAAAUGCUCAGAAUCUUUUAAGUGAGCUUCUUCUAGCAUUUUGACAGACCGGUCAU